UAAGGGCGCACGGUGGAUGCCUUGGCACUAGAAGCCGAUGAAGGACGUUACUAACGACGAUAUGCUUUGGGGAGCUGUAAGUAAGCUUUGAUCCAGAGAUUUCCGAAUGGGGAAACCCAGCAUGAGUUAUGUCAUGUUAUCGAUAUGUGAAUACAUAGCAUAUCAGAAGGCACACCCGGAGAACUGAAACAUCUUAGUACCCGGAGGAAGAGAAAGAAAAUUCGAUUCCCUUAGUAGCGGCGAGCGAAACGGGAAGAGCCCAAACCAACAAGCUUGCUUGUUGGGGUUGUAGGACACUCUAUACGGAGUUACAAAGGACGACAUUAGACGAAUCAUCUGGAAAGAUGAAUCAAAGAAGGUAAUAAUCCUGUAGUCGAAAAUGUUGUCUCUCUUGAGUGGAUCCUGAGUACGACGGAGCACGUGAAAUUCCGUCGGAAUCUGGGAGGACCAUCUCCUAAGGCUAAAUACUCUCUAGUGACCGAUAGUGAACCAGUACCGUGAGGGAAAGGUGAAAAGCACCCCGGAAGGGGAGUGAAAUAGAACCUGAAACCGUGUGCUUACAAGUAGUCAGAGCCCGUUAAUGGGUGAUGGCGUGCCUUUUGUAGAAUGAACCGGCGAGUUACGAUUUGAUGCAAGGUUAAGCAGUAAAUGUGGAGCCGUAGCGAAAGCGAGUCUGAAUAGGGCGUUUAGUAUUUGGUCGUAGACCCGAAACCAGGUGAUCUACCCUUGGUCAGGUUGAAGUUCAGGUA
rnacentral:rRNA from 1 species